CCUGUACACAUUCAUCUGACAUCUGCCAGGAAAGAAAACAUGAUUUGCUAUUAGAAUAUAUUAAUUUGUUACACACAAAAAUACACAAUGAACUAAUAAAAUGCAACUUUUAACAUGGCAAAGCCAUAGCAUGGUUAUGUGAUCUUGACGAUUGCAAGAUUCUUUCAUUUCUAUUGAAUGCCUCAGUGACCAACCUGACUAUAUGACAA